ACUACAAGAGAAGCAUUGCAUCAUCAAUUGACCAGAGGAUCGCAGGCAAGAAAUUCGUACAUGUCCUAUUGAAUAAUUUUGAAUUGCAACAAAAUUUCUGGAAUUUCCCCUUGCAGUUUUCUUUUCAAAUCUACCGGGCUAACAUUUUGAAACUAAAAAUUUAUCUGAGAUUUUCGGGUGAAAAAGAAAUCUAGUAAGUCCUUGUUAUCUCUACUUAGUAACUGGGUUCCCUGUAAAUGGAGCCCUUGUGGACAAAAUGGUAAAUCUAGUUGCUGAACUGCACAUAACUUUCUCCCUUGCGUGAGGAUGCAACGGGUUAAUGCUGCGUAUUGUGACUGAAGACACCAAGUGGCCGGGACAUCAGCUGCAGGUGUGAGGGGCACAACUCACAGGUCAUAUCGUUGAGUGCAGCUGCCUUUUCUGUUCAUCGUGGCAAUGAAGAGUGUGUUCAGUACCUGCCAUGUUACUAAGGGAAUAACAACUGCAGUAUAAGCGCUGUAUGAACAGUGUGUCUACGGCUUUCAUUGAGCUAGGAGAAAACGUUAUUUCCCAAACUGUAAUUCUUCUCCUAGUUCUACCGAGCGUAUUGCUAACAUGUGUAUUGCUGCUCGAUCUUACAUGUUGGGUGCUCCAGAUGCUGGUGUAGUCUUGAGCCUGGAGGCUGGAUUCGAAUUGGGAAAGAUAUGCUUGGCUUG